GAACUUUGGAACGAUUUCAAACUGUCAAAUACACUGGAGAAGAUUAACUCCGUGCGAUGUGGUAUCAGAAUUUUCGACUCGUAUUAUUUCGUUAACAAAAAAGAAAUUAACGGCCAGACAGCUUAUUCAACUUUUUCCUUCAAACAAAAUCCAUAUCACAACCUUGUAACCGAGGCCCAAAUGGAUGCUCACUCGGUUCUGGAUUGUUCACGUUUAUGUAUAUCUUCUACAUGUAUCGCCUUUUCAUAUACUAACACUAAGUGCUUACUAAAGAAACUGAACUGAACUUUAAUGGAAUUCACCUGAAAAUGAUUUACUUCUCAAUGAAUUGUGAACAAGACUUCAACGGAUCAUGUUUGCUAAUAAUAAUCAUAUAAAAUAAAAAGUGUGUUUCUUUACUAAUAAAAUCAAUUUAAUUCA